AACCCGAAUCAACCGUUGUUUACUUAUUAACCAAAUACAGAAUUUAAAUAUCAACGAGUUGGGAAGUUUUAUCCAAGUAUGACGUAACUUAGAAAGGAGAACUUUAGAUUUAUUUUAACAUUUACAUGAGGAACUGUUAUAGUUGGUCAAUAAGUUCUAGAUGUUAGAGUAAACUUCCUUUAAAUCUGUGCACUGUGUGUGGUUGGUUGGUAGUAAGGUGUUAUGCUGGUAAUACAUGGAAGAUUUUGUCGUACGCUGCAAGGUUUAUAGGUUUGGCGCUCACUCCAUGUAUGUUUGACUCAAUGGGUUAUUACGUUUCAGUAGUUUUUUUCAGGGAUUCGUUCAAAUUAUUUAUUUGGCAAAGCCAAAAGGCAAACAGUUUAAACGGUGGGAAUAUUUUGCUCGAAGGGUGAUUUACAUAAGCUUCUUCGUUCUGACGUAUGUGGGAUUCUCUUUUUCGCUGUGUUUGAUGACGUCACGGUGACGUCAAUAUCCCAUUUAUUUAACGGAGCUUGACCUCUACGUGGGCCGUCUACUUUCUCACCUAGGGUAGAGCAAGAGGAUCCUCUCUAGUGGAUGAAGUGGGAAUCGAUCAAGUACCGACCGAAACAACAAUAAUAAUAACCAUGAUAUGGUGUUAAUGUAUAUGACGGUAUUUCGUUCGUUUAUAUUUUUUAUUUUUUUGAUAGUACAUGCUACCUGGUAUGUCUAUUACCCCAACGCCCAGGGUGCUACCAUCUAAACCCCACUGAGGUAGUUUAUGUACAGCUAUUAUCUAGAACCCCUUUAUUCAUUUAAUAUUUUAUUAACACCGAGGCAACCUAUACGCUGUAAUGCAAACGGGUGUAGAUAUUUCUUUGUUUGUUCUUUUUACACCGAGACGAACUAUUCUAAUACAUCUCAUUGCCUGAGUCUAACCCUGCAACACUGAACCAAGGCAUGCCUGCAACUUACGGCAACCGUGCAAGCAUGAACGUUUAAAAGCAAGGAAGUUGACACCUGUGUGUCGGCUAAGAACACAACUCAUUCAUGCGUGUCCACCCGGUCACUAAUCAUUGGCAACCGCAUGUUUGCUUAGAUAAUGGCCUCGACUAUGACGUCACAUUAUCUCAUGUUUGCUAACAACCGCCUUUGUGGUAAAAGGAAAUUCCCAGGUUUUUUCACCGGAGCGAUAAAAUCGUAAAAUUGAUUUAAAUUUUUAGUUUAAAAUUGCGGUUUUGGUCGUUUUGUUUUGCGUGUUAUUUACUAAUAUGACCCUGCGUGUGCGUGAAUGUUGUUUUUGGUAAACAGACUUGUAAGAGCCGAAGUUCUAACGAGCAUAGCGGUGGGAUUACGCUAAACCUGUGGCUUAAAUGUUCGGCUGUCAAUCAAACAGGGUGGUCGAACAUUACGUUGCACGAAUCUUGAAAUUAAUGAAAUUUCCGAUUAAAAGGUUCCUUUAGAUAUAAAAUUCCUUCUUACAGGUUCAAUCUUACAUCUGUUAAUUUUUUAGGGUCAUGUUUUUAUUAAUUUAUUUCGUGUGAUAACGAAGUCGUUAAAACUGAUAACUUGAUAAGAAAAAGCGUAAACAACAACAGAAUAUUUUAUCGAGAAUCACAUAAACCUGGGGCGGUUAAUACAGGGGGGGUCCGGGCAAAUUUAUUUUAAGAUUUAAUUUAUCUCUGUUUUAAUGUAAAUUUGUCAAAACUUAAUGCGGUAAAUUUAGUUGAAGUAAAACUUAUUCAUGCACAACGAAGAAUCUCAUUGUCCACUUCUCCACGGUUCAGUGGUUUUAUUUGAACAACACUUAACGACGUCAUGGUGAUGAAAUUGUUAUGCGUGAGAACGAGUUUUCUGUGGAUAUUUAACUCCAUGUGGGUGGGAACUUGGGAGACUUAUCCAUGGUUGCCACUCCCAUGCCCACAGUCGAG